rnacentral:tRNA from 1 species
GGUCUAGCUCAGUUGGUAGAGUGCUUGCCUUGCAUGCACAGGCCCAGGGUUCUAUCCCCAGCACCA